rnacentral:rRNA from 1 species
AUUGAACGCUGGCGGUAGACCUAACACAUGCAAGUCGAACGGCAGCACAGUAAGAGCUUGCUCUUACGGGUGGCGAGUGGCGGACGGGUGAGGAAUACAUCGGAAGCUACUUUUUCGUGGGGGAUAACGUAGGGAAACUUACGCUAAUACCUCAUACGACCUACGGGUGAAAGCAGGGGAUCUUCUGACCUUGCGCGAUUGAAUGAGCCGAUGUCGGAUUAGCUAGUUGGCGGGGUAAAGGCCCACCAAGGCGACGAUCCGUAGCUGGUCUGAGAGGAUGAGCAGCCACACUGGAACUGAGACACGGUCCAGACUCCUACGGGAGGCAGCAGUGGGGAAUAUUGGACAAUGGGCGCAAGCCUGAUCCAGCCAUACCGCGUGGGUGAAGAAGGCCUUCGGGUUGUAAAGCCCUUUUGUUGGGAAAGAAAAGCAGCAGGUUAAUACCUCGCUGUUAUGACGGUACCCAAAGAAUAAGCACCGGCUAACCUCGUG